AGCGAGAAAAGGGGAGCAAUCCCCUGAGUACAGCGGCGCACGGGUGAGUAACACGUGGGUAAUCUGCCCUGGAGUGGGGAAUAACACCGGGAAACCGGUGCUAAUACCGCAUACGAUCACGGAGUCUGCGGAUUUUGUGAUGAAAGGAGCAAUUCGCUCUAGGAGGAGCCCGCGGCUGAUUAGCUAGUUGGUGAGGUAAUGGCUCACCAAGGCAACGAUCAGUAUCCGGUCUGAGAGGACGGUCGGACACACUGGAACUGAGACACGGUCCAGACUCCUACGGGAGGCAGCAGUGGGGAAUUUUUGGCAAUGGGGGCAACCCUGACCAAGCAACGCCGCGUGGGUGAUGAAGUCUCUUGGGACGUAAAACCCUUUCGACGGGGACGAAACCGCAAGGUUGACGGUACCCGUAGAAGAAGCCCCGGCUAACUCCGCGCCAGCAGCCGCGGUAAUACGGGGGGGGCAAGCGUUGUUCGGAAUUACUGGGCGUAAAGGGCGCGUAGGCGGUUCGCUAAGUCGGAUGUGAAAACUCUGGGCUCAACCCAGAGCCUGCAUCCGAAACUGGCGGGCUAGAGUUCUGGAGGGGGUAGCGGAAUUCCUGGUGUAGCGGUGAAAUGCGUAGAUAUCAGGAGGAACACCGGUGGCGAAGGCGGCUACCUGGACAGAAACUGACGCUGAGGCGCGAAAGCUAGGGGAGCAAACAGGAUUAGAUACCCUGGUAGUCCUAGCCCUAAACGAUGGAUACUUGGUGUGACUGGGAUUGAAUCCAGUCGUGCCGAAGCUAACGCAUUAAGUAUCCCGCCUGGGGGAGUACGGUCGCAAGGCUGAAACUCAAAGGAAU
rnacentral:rRNA from 1 species